UUGACUAGGGCAGUACAUUUAUAAAAAUUUACUAUAAACAUCCUAAGGAGAGCUCAGUAAAGAAAAAAGCUUCACGUGGAAUAUAUGGCACAGGCUCAAUGGAUUUGCUUUUAGUACAAAAGGCAGACGCGAAGUCUAUCUUUCCUACUGAUUUGAGUACUGUGUUGAUUAUAG
rnacentral:ncRNA from 1 species